rnacentral:rRNA from 1 species
UACAGAGGUCCCGAGCGUUGUUCGGAUUCACUGGGCGUAAAGGGUGCGUAGGUGGUUGGGUAAGUUUGAUGUGAAAGCUCAGGGCUUAACCCUGAAAUGGCAUUGAAUACUACUUAACUGGAGGUUUGGAGGGGGGACUGGAAUUCUUGGUGUAGCAGUGAAAUGCGUAGAUAUCAAGAGGAACACCAGUGGCGAAGGCGAGUCCCUGGACAACACCUGACACUGAGGCACGAAAGCUAGGGGAGCAAAUGGG